GUCCCGGUAGCUCAGUGGUAAUUUGGAAGUAAGCAGAUUCCAUCUGCUUCAAUCGCUAGAGAGCGUUCGGCUGUUAACCGAAAGGUCGCAGGUUCAAAGGACGUUUGACGCAGGUUUUACCUGCGUCGUUCGAAACUCCUGCCCGGGACG
rnacentral:tRNA from 1 species